rnacentral:lncRNA from 1 species
ACUGGGCUGGGUCACCGCUUGGAGACCGCUGUCGCCGCCACCCCCACCCCCAGGACCCCUCCCUCCACACCCAUUUGCCCACCCCCUCACGCGCGCACCCAGGAUUCAGGCAGGACACGCCUUCCGCUCCUGCUCGGCUCCGAGCGCGGGCUCCACGGUCGGGCCCAGCUCCCUCCGGCCCGCGGGGUGUGGCCGCCCACCUGCCAGCAGGGAGUCUCUGCCCGGCUGGGCCGCCCCCGCCGCCGCCGCCACCCACCGCCCGGGCCAGGUGCCGGACUCCCGGCGACGGCAGCUCCCGGGCCGCCGCCCCCACCCCUUCCUCCCGACAGUGCGGAGACAAAGCCGCGCACACGCACACGGGGGCUACGCGGGUGCACACCCGCGCUCACACGCGCACACACGGGAACCACACUGGCGCGCACACGGCGACACACACUCACACCUCCCACCCCUGGCUCCAGCCGCAAGCGAAGCCACGGGCACACCCUCGGUCGCACGCACACACUCUCGGCUACACACUGGGACACACCCUCUCACAGACACACUCGCGGAGGACACCCGCAAGCACACACGCCCUCACCAGAGGUGCUCAGGCCACCCGCGGGGCGCACACUCGGCGCACACGCGCGCGCGCGCCCCGAGCAUCCCCUUGCACCGAUCCCGAGCACAAGCGCGCUCACACCCACACGCCCGGAACCCUGGGCCCCGACGCACGUUCCCGCGCCAGCUCCGAAGCGCUCGAACCGAGCCGGAGGCUCCGGACCCUGGCGCCCGCCCCCCGGAGCCCGCCUGCCGGCUGUCAGUGCUCGCGAGUCGGGGACAGCGCCCGCAGCGCCCGGCGAUCACCCCCCCCCCAACACACACGCGAGCUCGGACGUGGAGGCGGCCCCGGGGCCAGCGCCCGGUGCCGGGCGGGCUCAUCUGGUGGCCGCAGCUCUGCUUCCUGACGCUGAUGUCCCUCGGUCUCCGCGUCCGGCGGCCGCCCCGGACGAGCUCCGAGGCGCACUGGAGCUGCGCAGAAAUGCCCCGCUCGCUGGCUCACUCGCUCGCUCCUUCCCUCCCUCCCACGGCGCUCAGCCCCCUCCCCGCCCGCCCCCACGCCCCCUCUCCCCCUCCGCCCCGCCCCGGCCGGCUGCCCCGGAGGAGGCGGCGGCGGCGGCGAUCCCGGCAGCCCAGGCAGCAGUCGCCGGCGGACUAGCGAGCGCCGCGGCCAGUCGGCGGCGGCCGGAGUCACGCCAGAGCCGGAGCCCAGGCCCGGGCCGCGCGUCGGGAGGAGCCGCGCCGGCCCCGGGGAGGGGAGCAGAGGAGGGGGUUGCGCCCAGCGAGCCCGCCCGCCGCCGGGGUCCGCCGCCCGCCUCCGCACGUGGGCCCGGCGCCUACCUGAGCCGCGGCGGAGCUCAGAGGCCCGGCGCCAGCGGCGGGGCGAGGCGGAGCAGGAGACCCCCGCCGGGGCCUCGUGGCCCUCUCAGUCCCAGCCGGGUGGGCUCGGGCCCCGCCCCCGCCUCCUCCCGGGUCCCUGCCAGCGCCGACCUCGGCUUUCUCUGA